UACAGAGGGUGCGAGCGUUGUUCGGAAUUACUGGGCGUAAAGCGCGCGCAGGCGGCUCUUUAAGUCUGUCGGUCAAACGCCGGGGCUCAACCCCGUGCUCGCCGGAGAUACUGGAGGGCUGGAGACAUGUAGAGGCAAGCGGAAUUCCGGGUGUAGCGGUGGAAUGCGUAGAGAUCCGGAAGAACACCGGAGGCGAAGGCGGCUUGCUGGGCAUGGUCUGACGCUGAGGCGCGAAAGCGUGGGGAGCGAACAGGAUUAGAUACCCCUGUAGUCC
rnacentral:rRNA from 1 species